rnacentral:rRNA from 1 species
ACGCUGGCGGCAUGCCUUACACAUGCAAGUCGAACGGCAGCACGGGAGCAAUCCUGGUGGCGAGUGGCGAACGGGUGAGUAAUACAUCGGAACGUGCCCAGUUGUGGGGGAUAGCCCGGCGAAAGCCGGAUUAAUACCGCAUACGACCUACGGGUGAAAGCGGGGGAUCGCAAGACCUCGCGCUAUUGGAGCGGCCGAUGUCGGAUUAGCUAGUUGGUGGGGUAAAAGCCUACCAAGGCUACUAUCCGUAGCUGGUCUGAGAGGACGACCAGCCACACUGGGACUGAGACACGGCCCAGACUCCUACGGGAGGCAGCAGUGGGGAAUUUUGGACAAUGGGCGCAAGCCUGAUCCACCCAUGCCGCGUGCGGGAAGAAAGCCUUCGGGUUGUAAACCGCUUUUGUCAUGGAAGAAACGGUUUGGGCUAAUAUCCCGAACUAAUGACGGUACCUGAAGAAUA